UAUUUGACAAUGGGGGGAACCCUGAUCCAGCGACGCCGCGUGAGUGAAGAAGUAUUUCGGUAUGUAAAGCUCUAUCAGCAGGGAAGAAAGAAAUGACGGUACCUGACUAAGAAGCCCCGGCUAACUACGUGCCAGCAGCCGCGGUAAUACGUAGGGGGCAAGCGUUAUCCGGAUUUACUGGGUGGAAAGGGAGCGUAGACGGCGAUGCAAGUCUGAAGUGAAAGGCGGGGGCCCAACCCCCGGACUGCUUUGGAAACUGUAUGGCUGGAGUGCAGGAGGGGCAGGCGGAAUUCCUGGUGUAGCGGUGAAAUGCGUAGAUAUCAGGAGGAACACCGGUGGCGAAGGCGGCCUGCUGGACUGCGACUGACGUUGAGGCCCGAAAGCGUGGGGAGCAAACAGG
rnacentral:rRNA from 1 species